UUGGCUGCGGUGCUAUAAUGCAGUCGAGCGGACUGAUGGGAGCUUGCUCCCAUCAGUCAGCGGCGGACGGGUGAGUAACACGUGGGUAACCUGCCUGUAAGACUGGGAUAACUCCGGGAAACCGGGGCUAAUACCGGAUAACUCAUUUCCUCGCAUGAGGAAAUGUUGAAAGAUGGCUUCUUGCUAUCACUUACAGAUGGACCCGCGGCGCAUUACCUAGUUGGUGAGGUAACGGCUCACCAAGGCGACAAUGCGUAGCCAACCUGAAAGGGUGAUCGGCCACACUGGGACUGAAACACGGCCCAAACUCCUACGGGAGGCAGCAGUAGGGAAUCUUCCGCAAUGGACGAAAGUCUGACGGAGCAACGCCGCGUGAGUGAUGAAGGUUUUCGGAUCGUAAAACUCUGUUGUUAGGGAAAAACAAGUACCGUUCGAAUAGGGCGGUACCUUGACGGUACCUAACCAAAAAGCCACGGCUAACUACGUGCCAGCAGCCGCGGUAAUACGUAGGUGGCAAGCGUUGUCCGGAAUUAUUGGGCGUAAAGCGCGCGCAGGUGGUUUCUUAAGUCUGAUGUGAAAGCCCACGGCUCAACCGUGGAGGGUCAUUGGAAACUGGGGAACUUGAGUGCAGAAAAGGAAAGUGGAAUUCCAAGUGUAGCGGUGAAAUGCGUAGAUAUUUGGAGGAACACCAGUGGCGAAGGCGACUUUCUGGUCUGUAACUGACACUGAGGCGCGAAAGCGUGGGGAGCAAACAGGAUUAGAUACCCUGGUAGUCCACGCCGUAAACGAUGAGUGCUAAGUGUUAGAGGGUUUCCGCCCUUUAGUGCUGCAGCUAACGCAUUAAGCACUCCGCCUGGGGAGUACGGUCGCAAGACUGAAACUCAAAGGAAUUGACGGGGGCCCGCACAAGCGGUGGAGCAUGUGUUUAAUUCGAAGCAACGCGAAGACCUUACAGGUCUUGACAUCCUCUGACACCCUAGAGAUAGGGCUUUCCCUUCGGGGACAGAGUGACAGGUGGUGCAUGGUUGUCGUCAGCUCGU
rnacentral:rRNA from 1 species